rnacentral:rRNA from 1 species
CCUACGGGUGGCAGCAGUGAGGAAUAUUGGGCAAUGGGCGGAAGCCUGAACCAGCCAAGUCGCGUGAGGGAUGAAGGUUCUAUGGAGCGUAAACCUCUUUUAUAAGGGAAUAAAGUGUGGGACGUGGCCGAUGUUGUAUGUACCUUAUGAAUAAGGAUCGGCGAACUCCGUGCCAGCAGCCGCGGUAAUACGGAGGAGCCGAGCGUUAUCCGGAUUUAUUGGGUUUAAAGGGUGCGUAGGCGGCCUUUUAAGUCAGCGGUGAAAGUCUGUGGCUCAACCAUAGAAUUGCCGUUGAAACUGGCGGCCUUGAUUAUGUUUGCGGCAGGCGGUCUGCGUGUUGUAGCGGUUACUUGCUUAGAUCUCACUC